CAUUAAUAGUUUUAAUUAUUAAUAUAAUCUGCUCAAUGAUAAUUUAAAUAGCCGCAAAGUCAAUCUUUGUGCUAAGGUAGCAUAAUCAUUUGUCUUUUAAUUAAAGACUAGAAUAAAAGAUAUUACAUUUCAAUUAUAAAUUAUAUUAUUUUAAUAUUUUAAAUUACUUUUAAUGUUAAAAAACAUUUAAUAACUAAAAAGACAAUAAGACCCUAUUGAAUUUUAUUAUAAUUUAACUGGGGCAGUUAAUUAAUUAUUAUUUUAAUUUAGAUUUUAAAAUAAUUGAUCUAAUUUAAUUAAAAUGAUCAAAUUACCUUAGGGAUAACAGCAUAAUAUAUUUUUAAAGAUCUUAUAUAAAAAAAUGAUUGUGACCUCGAUGUUGAAUAAUAUACUAAAUUAAGUAAAAGUUUUAAUAGAAAGUCUGUUCGACUUAUAAAUAAUUACA
rnacentral:rRNA from 1 species